rnacentral:tmRNA from 4 species
GGGGAUGAACGGUUUCGACAAUUUGUUCUCUCAAAAUAUGCAAGUCGAGCAUGAUAUUGAUCUCGUUAAACUCUAUAUCAACGACUAUAAGUGCAAACUUAUUUUCAAAGGCUAAGCAAGCAUUUGCCAACGCAUUUGCCCCUGCUUACGCUUCCGCUAUUGCCUAAUUCGCGAUAGCCAUCGAGUCGCUCACUCCUAAUAGGCGAUCACUCGGUGUCAUAUAUUAGGAUUGAUGAAUUAUUUUUUCUCGAGGCAAUUCAUGACACAAAAAUCGGGAACGGCUUGUUAAGGUUUUGCCUGUUUUAUACUUAACAAGUUAGUCAAAAUAAACCGGCUAAGCUUGUAGAAUAUUUUGAAGGAAUCAAAUUUGGACAUGGGUUCAAUUCCCAUCAUCUCCAAUU